AGAGUUUGAUUCUGGCUCAGAGCGAACGCUGGCGGCGUGGAUAAGACAUGCAAGUCGAGCGGAUUCUACUACCUGGCAACAGGUAGUGGAAUUAGCGGCGAACGGGCGAGUAACACGUGGGAAUCUGCCCCUAAGUGGGGGAUAGCCCGCCGAAAGGUGGGGUAAUCCCGCAUGUGGUCCGGGUUCUACCCGGAUCAAAGCGGGGGAUCCGGCUUUGCCGGACCUCGCGCUUGGGGAGGAGCCCGCGGCCUAUCAGCUAGUUGGUAGGGUAAUGGCCUACCAAGGCUACGACGGGUAGCUGGUCUGAGAGGACGGCCAGCCGCACUGGGACUGAGACACGGCCCAGACACCUACGGGUGGCAGCAGUCGAGAAUUUUUCACAAUGGGCGAAAGCCUGAUGGAGCGACGCCGCGUGGGGGAAGAAGGCCUUCGGGUUGUAAACCCCUGUCACCGGGGAACAAGCGAUGCAGGCUAAUACCCUGCAGAGUUGAUAGUACCCGGAGAGGAAGGGGCGGCAAACUCUGUGCCAGCAGCCGCGGUAAUACAGAGGCCCCGAGCGUUGCUCGGAUUUACUGGGCGUAAAGGGUGUGUAGGGGGUCGGGUAAGUCGAAUGUGAAAUCCCACGGCUCAACCGUGGAACGGCAUUCGAUACUGCCCGGCUAGAGGACCGGAGGGGGAAGCGGAACUCUCGGUGUAGCGGUGAAAUGCGUAGAUAUCGAGAGGAACACCGGUGGCGAAGGCGGCUUCCUGGAAGGUUCCUGACCCUGAAACACGAAAGCUAGGGGAGCGAACGGGAUUAGAUACCCCGGUAGUCCUAGCCGUAAACGGUGUGCGUUUGGCGUUGGCGGAUUCGACCCCGUCAGUGCCGUAGGUAACCCGUUAAACGCACCGCCUGAGGAGUACGGCCGCAAGGCUAAAACUCAAAGAAAUUGACGGGGGCCCGCACAAGCGGUGGAGCAUGUGGCUUAAUUCGAUGCAACGCGAAGAACCUUACCUGGGCUUGACAUGCCGCGUUCAGUUCCCGAAAGGGGAUGGCCCGAAAGGGCGAGCGGCACAGGUGCUGCAUGGCUGUCGUCAGCUCGUGCCGUGAGGUGUUGGGUUAAGUCCCGCAACGAGCGCAACCCCUGCGUCCUGUUGCCGAUGAGGCUCUCUGGACGGACUGCCCCGUUCAACGGGGAGGAAGGUGGGGAUGACGUCAAGUCAGUAUGGCCCUUAUGCCCAGGGCUGCACACGUGCUACAAUGCCCGGCACAAAGGGAAGCAAGGCCGUGAGGCGGAGCCAAUCCCCAAAACCGGGCCCAGUUCAGAUCGAAGGCUGCAACUCGCCUUCGUGAAGCCGGAAUCGCUAGUAAUGGCGCAUCAGCUACGGCGCCGUGAAUACGUUCCCGGGCCUUGUACACACCGCCCGUCACAUCCUGAAAGCUGGCUGUACCCGAAGUCGGUCGUAGGACCGCCGAAGGUAUGGCUGGUGAUUGGGAUGAAGUCGUAACAAGGUAGCCGUAGGGGAACCUGCGGCUGGAUCACCU
rnacentral:rRNA from 1 species